GUUGGCGUGUAUUGGUAUGUUGGAUCCCUGCUUGGGCAGCGACGACAUGCCAUGCAAGCCUCUUCAUUCCUCGGCUCAAGUGCUUGUUUACCUGGUCCAGCGUCCGUUUUACUUGUGCUGAAUACCCACAAAGGGGGCACACGGUUGGCUAAAACGUCCCACUUCCGCCUUGUGCUGCGCCCCUCGGGGCCGCGGCRCGGGGUGGACCUCAAAGCAUUCGCCGUGCGCCACGUCUCGCGCAAGUGCCUCCGCACGUGCUUGGGUUGUUGGCUCAUGGAGUSUUGCUCGAUCUCUCGGAUGCGGAACAAUAAGUGGGUACGAGGCCCCCGRCCUCUAUUUGCCCCAAAAACAAGCGUUCGGCGCUUCAUGCGAACGACUGUCGUUUUCGUUUUGACCGGGUCCUCGUGGCUCGGCUCAUGCGAAAGCGGCGUCRAUGAGGAAUGCUAC
rnacentral:misc_RNA from 1 species